AUUGAACGCUGGCGGCAGGCCUAACACAUGCAAGUCGGACGGUAGCACAGAGGAGCUUGCUCCUCGGGUGACGAGUGGCGGACGGGUGAGUAAUGUCUGGGGAUCUGCCCGAUAGAGGGGGAUAACCACUGGAAACGGUGGCUAAUACCGCAUAACAUCGCAAGACCAAAGAGGGGGACCUUCGGGCCUCUCACUAUCGGAUGAACCCAGAUGGGAUUAGCUAGUACGCGGGGUAACGGCCCACCUAGGCGACGAUCCCUAGCUGGUCUGAGAGGAUGAACAGCCACACUGGGACUGGGACACGGUCCAGACUCCUACGGGAGGCAGCAGUGGGGAAUAUUGCACAGUGGGCGCAAGCCUGAUGCAGCCAUGCCGCGUGUAUGAAGAAGGCCUUCGGGUUGUAAAGUACUUUCAGCGGGGAGGAAGGCGAUGUGGUUAAUAACCGCAUUGAUUGACGUUACCCGCAGAAGAAGCACCGGCUAACUCCGUGCCAGCCGCCGCGGUAA
rnacentral:rRNA from 1 species